rnacentral:rRNA from 2 species
UGACCUCAAAUCAGGUAGGACUACCCGCUGAACUUAAGCAUAUCAAUAAGCGGAGGAAAAGAAACUAACCAGGAUUCCCUUAGUAGCGGCGAGCGAAGCGGGAUGAGCUCAAAUUUGAAAUCUGGCGUCUUUCAGGCGUCCGAGUUGUAAUCUAUAGAAGCGUUUUCUAUGCUGGACCGUGUCCAAGUCCCUUGGAACAGGGUAUCAAAGAGGGUGACAAUCCCGUACUUGACACGACGACCAGUGUUCUGUGAUACGUUCUCUACGAGUCGAGUUGUUUGGGAAUGCAGCUCAAAAUGGGUGGUAAAUUCCAUCUAAAGCUAAAUAUUGGCGAGAGACCGAUAGCGAACAAGUACCGUGAGGGAAAGAUGAAAAGCACUUUGGAAAGAGAGUUAAACAGUACGUGAAAUUGUUGAAAGGGAAACGAUUGAAGUCAGUCGUGUCUAUUGGUUUCAGCCGGUCCUGCCGGUGUAUUACCUUUAGACGGGUCAACAUCAGUUUUGGACGGCACAUAAAAGCGGUUUGAAUGUAGCACCUCCGGGUGUGUUAUAGCUUUCUGUUACAUAUGUUGUCCGAGACUGAGGACUGCAGCUCGCCUUUUAUUAGGCCGGGGUUCGCCCACGUUCGAGCUUAGGAUGUUGACAUAAUGGCUUUAAACGACCCGUCUUGAAACACGGACC